AGUUUACCCCCUAAAUUAAGAGCGGUUUUGCACUUUGCCCCCCAAACAAUUUUUUUUUGCACGUUUUUACCUAAACUUGUUAUUUGGUUGCACGGUGCCCGUUUUCAGGCAAUUUUGGACGGAAUCUUAAGCACGUGCAAAUCAGUUAGGAAGGGGUAAAAUUGUCACUUCACUAACAAUCUGACCUAGAGUUCAAUUUUCAUUAGUUUUUUUCGUUUAUUUCAUUGGAUUUUCCUCCAUCUUCUCCAACAACUCUUUCUUCUUCCCCUCUUUGUGCUCUCCUUUUGCUGAGGUGACAAUAGCGGUGGUGGAGCCAGAGGAGGCGACGACAUCAGCACCGGAGAUGGAUCAGUGGGUGAAAAUUCCAAUUAAAUGAACCAAAGAGAAAAAAGGGGAAGAGAAGAAGAAAUCGAAAUAGUAUGAAAAGAAAAAGGGAAAAAAAAAGGAGUGGUUGGAGAAGAUAAUCAAAAUGAAGGAAAUCUAGUCAAAUAGAACACUUAUUCCCCUGUUUCUUGAUUUCUUUUCAGAGAUCAAUCAGAAAAAAAAAAAAAAGGUUUCUUGUCCUGUUUUUUUCAUUUAUUUAUUUAUGUUUUAUUUAAAAAUCAGAGAUCAAGAAGAAGAAGAUGGGUGCAGAAGACUCAGUACAGCGUCCUCUUGUAUUUGCCUAUUACGUCACCGGUCAUGGCUUUGGCCAUGCCACCCGCGCUGUCGAGCUUCACCGCCAUCUCUCUCUCUCUGUAUCACUGUGUGUGUGUGUGUGAUUUGUCUGAAAAGAUGAAAAAAAAUAAUGUUUUGAUUCGAUGUACUAAUAACUUGUUAUGUAAUUCUGGCUAUGUUUUGAUUCGAUGUCUGUGUGUGAUUUGUCUGAAAAUAUGAUUUUUUUUAGAUAAUGGAUGAAAAUUGGAUGAAUUUGUUACAAA